rnacentral:tRNA from 1 species
GCCCGCAUGGUGGAAUCGGUAGACACAACAGACUUAAAAUCUGUCGAUCGCAAGGUCGUGCCAGUUCGAGUCUGGCUGCGGGCACCA